UAUUUAGAUAAAAAUAGGUGAGAAUAUAGUUAACACCUUUUUAUGUAUGGUAAUUUGUAUAUGUUGUGCAUUUUCGGCUGAAAUGUUAUAAUUUAAUUGGCCAGCACAGUUGAAUUAAUUAUUAACCAACUCGAUGGUUUGUUGAUGUCGCUACUUUUCUGUGCUUCAUAACCUAGAGGUUCAACUGUCAGACAUGCUGAUUUUCAUAUUUUAAUUGUGUGUUUUUUAAUAUGUGAUGAUAAUUUCUGUUGUUCAUGGGUCCUCUAAGAUCAAUGAUCUGUUUGAAUACCUUGCUCUUGCAGAUUUUUUUGAAUGUCAACUGAGUUGCUCGUGUCCUGAUGAAGAGCCCAACAAUAGGCUCGAAAUAUAGACAAUCGAACGACAAA